AUCAAGGUCAAACAAACAGCGGCAAAUAUGUUUCAAAAGUAGCAAGUGGAAAAUAUCUUCAAUCAUAGAUUAUACACUUAAUAUAUACGAGAUCUUCAAUCAUUUAAAUAUUCAUUUUAUUGAGUACCUAAAAAACGAAGUUAUAUUUAAUCUCUUUAAUCCUAAUCGAUUACCUAAAUUUGUAAUGCUGCUUAUUGAAAAAAAAUUGGAAUGUUUAAUAAAGGUCUUUGAACUGUAAAUGGAUGGUUACGAUGGAAAAUAAACGAAAUGGACACAGUUAUACAAAUAAAGAUCAGGAGAUACCAUUUUGGCUUGAUAAAAUUACAACGGAGAUGAAAGAAACACAUAUACAGAAUAAUGGCAGUGAACCGAAUACCACACUUCAGGAGGCAGUGUUCGAAAAGUUUGGAAACUAUAAAUUGACUCGUAGAACUUCACUAGACGCUACAAUGGAUGUAGUAGUAAAACCUCACAUACAACCAGUGGCAUACUCGGCUGGAGCUCUAAGACACAAUAAUAAAGGGUACAAUGCAAACGGUCGCCGUAAGUACGAAAUAAGAAGCGACAUUGACUGGGGGGACUCGACUUCCAAUGAUUUCCUCUCCGAUCUACUCCCCCACUACGUCACGCCUAGGCCUUCAAGAUUCAGUAGCGCUAUCGAUGAAGACUUCCAAGAUGUCAUAAUGGCCUCUAGGCUACAAGACAAUAAGCCUCGUAAAAAACAUCCCAACGAACCCUCGGUAAAUUCUCAACACGUCACAGUAAAGAAGAGAUCUGCUGUUAAAUGUACAACCAAAAAUCCUACGGCAUUAAGUUCAAAAUCGAAUAUCUAUCAAAAGGAUAAAAAUAAAUGCGAAUUUGUGAUCCCCGAGCUCCCAGAAGGCAGGCUGCUUGAAAUGAAGAUUUACUCGAAUUGGGGUGAUAAAUAUUUAGUAGGUCUGAAUGGUAUAGAGCUGUUUGAUUCUAACGGAUGCAUAGUGGAUAUUGAAAAGAUUUGGAGCGAUUCAGAAACGGGUGAUCAGUCGUUGUACGGACGCGUGGAGACCGUGUGCGACGGCGUGGUCCGCAGUAGGGACGACAAGCAUGCGUGGUGCGCCGCCGCGCCGACCGCCUCGCCGCUCGUGCUCUCGUUACUACUGGCCUCCAGAGUCAAGCUUGCACUGCUCCGAAUAUGGAACUACAACAAAUCGCGGAUUCAUUCGAUCCGAGGGAUAAGGCUUGUUCAAGUAAAACUCGACGACCAAGUCGUGUUUCACGGGGAAAUAGCCCGAGCCAGCGGUGAACUGACCGGGCAUUUGUCUUCGUUCGGAGACAUGAUUCUCUUCACUAAAGAUCCUCUAAUCCUAGAAGCGGUUAUGGAUAACGACAAGAAUUUCAAAGUAUUACUCAAAGAUAGCGAACCGAUGACAGAUCCUAGUGCAAUUGACAAGCGACCGACGACAGCUAAUGAUAGCCACCACAACUUGAGCCCUAAUGCUUUGCUCGACUCUUUAGAGGAUAAUGAGAGAGAAGCCAAAUAUAUGGCAAAGGAAAUUAAACUGACGCUCAUGUCGAACUGGGGUCAGAAGAAUUUGAUCGGGCUAACUGGUAUCGAAAUUCUUUACAACGAUGACCCGAUCGUAGUGCGCAGAGCUUACGCGUAUUCGACCUUCAUAAACUCAGCCCAAAACUCCGACGCCCUUGACACGGUGGAGUGCUCGGCGCUGUUCAACGCGAGGAACAUUACGACUGAUCACGAGGACAUGUGGUGCGCGAGCUUCUCGGCCGACACCAAGUUCUGUCAUGUCGUCAUCCAACUCGCAGAACCUACCGAGAUUACAAGCAUCCGAAUAUGGAACUACAACGCGAAUAUGGAGCUGUCGUACAUGGGGGCGAAGCACCUCAGGGUUAGUCUGGACGGGUCAGAGCUGCACUACAGGCCGGUGUUGCUGCGCCGCGCGCCCGGACACGCCCACUACGACUACGUGCAGCAACUGGACCUGGCCUCCGUCGACGACAGAUUCGAAGACGCCAAGGACUCGGACAGUUUCCGCAUGGACUGUCUGGUGUACGGCACCAACUUGGACAUGGGCGCGCCCACCGGCUUUGUGCUGCAGCUGAACAUAUUCUCGACCUGGGGCGACCCCUACUACGUCGGCCUGACCGGGAUACAGCUGUACGACCCCCGCGGGAACCUCGUGCCGGUCACGCAGACCAACGUCUGCGCUCAUCCGGCCAGCGUGAACGUGCUCGAUUCUAGGGCAUUAGACGUGCGGACUCCGGACAAGCUUAUCGACGGUAACAAUGACAGUGUCGGUGACGGGGCGCACUCGUGGCUCGCCCCGCUACUGCCCAAUACGCUUAACAGGGUGUUUUUCGUGUUCGACAUCCCGGUCUCAGUCUACGGGCUCAAGAUAUGGAACUACGGGAAGACGCCGUCGAGGGGCGUUAAGGAAUUUGGGGUUUUAAUGGAUGAUCUUCUCAUAUACAACGGGACAUUGGACCGCGCCGAGCCGGGAGCCGGCUUGUCUCCGCAGUGGAUAUGUCUACAAAACGUGGAUGUCGACGUUUUGACUCCAAGUCCGUCUGACGGCAGUCUUCGCACGACCACCAGCGGCUCCAACGAGUUCGCGGAUCCGAGCGCGAGGCCGCACACCGGCGUCCCCUGUGCCCGACCCUCGCAGAAACACAGGCACUGACAUCCUCGUACAUACAGUUUGAAGAUCGUAAAUAAAAGUCACGAUUGGUUGAGUUGAAAGUAGUGAAUUUAAUUCUUCACUAGAUGAAGGACCAAAGAAUAGUAGAUACAUAGGUGUUAUAUAGGACUAGAAUAAAUUAGAAAAUAAAAGGAGAAAUCUUGAUGAAGAAAUAGAAAAUGAACGCUACGUUUAUGAAAUAAGUAAUUUUGAAACAAGAAUUCGUCAAUUACCUUAUAUUUUCUUUUUCAAUAGAAUCUUAUAAGUGACUUAAAAUUUUGCCCCAUUAGCAUUAAUAAUCUUCUUAAAUUGAGGGUAGUUUGCACCGAGAAACGCAAUCUAAUUUUUCUAAGAUUAUUAUUCUUGCAAACAGCAGUUCAAAGAAUAUUUUGUUAAAAUUGCUUCGUAGUUCGGACACUAUUUUUAUUAAUAGAAAACAAAUUUAAUAAAUACGUGAUCCAUUUUGUACGUAAACUUACAUACAUAUGUGGGCUCACAAGAGGCCCUACGUUACGAAUUUAGCAAUUAAUUUAUCAAUUUUUAUCGAUUAUAAGUGACAUCAAGAUUUAAAGUUUACUUUUAUAGUUCAAUAUCUUUUGUCAUUAUAUUGUUGCCAACGUUACGAAUACAGUUUACGGGGUCACGUAAGACUGACCAGUCAGUAUGUAACCAUAAAAGUAAUUUUACUUACGUUUGCGAUACGCGAAAAUCGACCAAAAUAUAGCUACUCUAAAAUCAAGAUACCAUACCUUUAGAAUUGAAUUGUGGUAAUAUUUAAAAAAAAAACUGAUACGCGUGGUACUUUAAUGAAGUGAAACUUCUUUUUUUUUUGUUGCUUUUGUAGGCAGACGAGCAUACGGCCCACCUGAUGGUAAGUGGUCACCGUCGCUCAUGGACGUCGGCAAUGCAGAGCCAAGCCGCUGCCUACCAUUAAGUACUCUCCGCAAGCCUCGUUUGAAGAAGGACAUGUCGCUCGGAAAACAGCUUGGAGGGGAGUUCAUUCCAAAGCCGGAUGGUGGGUAGGUCGCGGUUGUAUUUGAAUAGUAGCGCCGCAAUGGACUGCACCGGCCGAGUUACAUUGCGUACUCAGAACACUGUACCUGUUGAACUAGUGUUUAUUUACUUAAUUUGUAGAAAGUAACUAUAGACCUUAGUAAUGUGUUGUUUUGUCGCAGUUUUAGUGUUGUAUCGAACAAUCUUAUGAAAUGAUUUUUAUACAAAAUAAUAAAUGGAUGAUUUAAUAA